rnacentral:rRNA from 1 species
GGCUCAGGAUGAACGCUGGCGGCGUGCUUCAUGCAUGCAAGUCGAACGGGAACACUUUUAGUAGCAAUACUGAGGGUGUUCUAGUGGCGAUCGGGUGAGUAACACGUAGGUGACCUGCCCCGAAGAGGGGGAUAACGGUCCGAAAGGACUGCUAAUACCCCAUGUGGUUGAUGAUUCAUUUCAUCAAUUAAAGUUUCCGCAAGGAGUAUGCUUCGGGAGGGGCCUGCGGCGGAUUAGAUAGUUGGUGGGGUAAUGGCCUACCAAGUCGAUGAUCCGUAGCUAGUCUGAGAGGACGAUUAGCCACACUGGCACUGACACACGGGCCAGACUCCUACGGGAGGCAGCAGCAGGGAAUAUUGCACAAUGGGCGAAAGCCUGAUGCAGCAACGCCGCGUGAGGGAUGAAGGUCUUCGGAUUGUAAACCUCUUUUACAGGGGACGAGUAAGGACGGUACCCUGUGAAUAAGCAACGGCUAACUACGUGCCAGCAGCCGCGGUAAUACGUAGGUUGCGAGCGUUAUUCGGAUUUACUGGGCGUAAAGAGCACCGAGGUGGCUUCUUAAGUUGGAUGUAAAAUCUCCUGGCUUAACUGGGAGGCGCCAUUCAAAACUGAGGAGCUUGAGGUCAGCAGGGGAAGGUGGAAUUCCCGGUGUAGUGGUGGAAUGCGUAGAGAUCGGGAGGAACACCAGUGGCGAAAGCGACCUUCUGGGCUGCACCUGACACUCUAGUGCGAAAGCGUGGGGAGCAAACAGGAUUAGAUACCCUGGUAGUCCACGCCCUAAACGAUGGAUACUAGGUGUGGGAGGUAUUGACCCCUUCCGUGCCGAAGCCAACGCGUUAAGUAUCCCGCCUGGGGACUACGGCCGCAAGGU